rnacentral:rRNA from 1 species
CAUGUAGGCGGUCUGUCAAGUCUGAUGUGAAAGCCCGGGGCUCAACCCCGGAAGUGCAUUGGAAACUGGCAGACUUGAGUACGGGAGAGGAAAGUGGAAUUUUGAGUGUAGGGGUGAAAUCCGUAGAUAUUCGAAGGAACACCAGUGGCGAAGGCGGCUUUCUGGACCGAUACUGACGCUGAGAUGCGAAAGCGUGGGGAGCAAACAGGAUUAGAUACCCUGGUAGUCC